rnacentral:lncRNA from 10 species
CACAGGAAUAUCGAGAGCGUCAUGAACCCGAGCUAUAGAGAAAGGAGAUGAGGCGUGAGCCACCGCACCCGGCUGACAAGUGUCCUUCUAAGAAACACACAGAGGAGAAGACACAGAAGAGGAGAGCACCAUGUGAUGGUAGACACAGAAAUUGGAGUUCUACAGCCACAAGCCAAGGAACUCCUGGAGCCACCAGGAGAUGGAAGAUGCAAAGAACUGAUUUUCUCUCAGAGCCUCUGGAGGGAGUGUGGCCCUGGUGACACCUUGAUUUUGGACUUCUGGCCUACAGAACCAUGCACACAGGAGGACUUCAUUUCCCAGGUCUCCUUGCAGUGAAGUUGAGGCCAUGUGACUGGUCUUGGGCCAAUGGAAUGGGUGCAGAAGGGACACAGCCCAUUUCUAGACUCAGCCUGAAAUGUCCUCCAUAAUCCUUACUCUUUCUCCCUUCACUCACUGGCUGCAGGAAGCUGAGAAUUAUCCUUGGACUUACAUAAAGCAUUUUGGACUUUAU